UCAAAUAUAAAGGAUAACAAGUAUUAGAGCUCAUGCAUGUGCACAUAAUUGAGUUUACCUUAUUCACAUAUCACUUCACUCAUUACAAGAUUUCAGGCAAUGCUUCAACUCAAUUCAAUCAAGAGCACACUUAUUGCAUAGCCCUAAGUAAGACUUUAAGUUUGGUGUUGUGAUGCAUGAGCAUCAUUAGUACUUUUUCUUUGAUAUUUCAUAUAGAAAAUUAAUAAAUCUUGCUUGAUAAUGAAGUGUUCCAAUGAUUAAUUUGAAUAUUACUUUGAGUACCUUGAUUUAAUGAUUGUUGCAGGAAGUGUUAAAGAAAAGGCACAAUAAAAAAGUCAACACAAAGGAAUUUCCAAAGGACUUGUGUUAAACAAGAAAGACUUGGAGCUUGAAGACAAAAGAAGCGUGUGACACGCCAAGAAUGAGCCAGUUGCACACCAGGGAAGAUGGACCUCCAACUUCAAGCAAGAGUAGCCUAUUGCAUGCCAAAACACAAGGGGCAUGUGCUUCAUACACACCUUUGAGGCGCUAGAGGGAAGCACACAUAAGACCUAGUGUGUUGCACGCCAGGAAAGAAAACCUCCCAGGUCACACUAAAAGGGACGUGUCACAUGCCACAGCUAGGAGACGUGUCCCUAGCACAUGCCCUUGAUGAAGCAUUCAAAGACAAGCCACAAUAAGUGGCGUGUUGCACGUCAGGGAGAGGAAGCGUGUCUCCCACACACGCCUUUGAAGCACACAAAGCCAAGGAAGGAAGCCUGUCACAUGGCAAGCUAAGGAAGAGUGUACAUGCGACAUGCCAAGCACCAAGCACACAAGGCCAGGUUAAAUGAAGCGUGUGACAAGCCAAAUAUGAGGCGUGUUGCAUGCCAAGAUUGAGGCCCACUUUCACCCCAGUUUGAGGGUGUGUUGCGCACCAAGUUUGCUCCUCCAACUUCACCCAAUUGUGUGGUGUGUUGCAUGCCAAAAUCAAGGGGAGUGUGUUGUGGACACGCCUUUGACCCCUCUUGUCAACGGGCGUGUAACACACUGCAUUCCCAAGUGUAGCACGCUAAGAUCCCCUUCAAGCGAUUCCAAAUUCACUCCAAGCGAAGCCCACAAUCCACAAUCAAUCAAAGGCCAAAGGACCCAUUAGCAAGCAAGCUUCAUGACUAGUAAUAGUUAGUUUGAAAUUCAAAAUUUGAUGUAAUUUGAAUUUAAUUUGAAUUUCAUUUUAGGAUAUAUAGCUAUAAAAGCCCAUCGAGCAUACUUUGAUAUGGGGCCCUCUGCUGUACACUUCUUCACACACUUUUCUCAUUCAUUUUGAAUUCUAGCUCUAUAUCAUGAGUCCAUUAAAGGGAGGAGCUCUAUGGAAUUCUAAUGGAUUAAUAAUUUUUCUCUUCUUCUAAAUCUCUGCAUUGUUGUUCUAAGAGAGAGUUUUCGUUGUUUAUCAUAAAGAUUCAAUUCAAUUGGAAAAUAGCUUGAAGCUCACUUGAAUUCCAUGAUUGAGUUGAAAAAGUAAUAAGAGGAAUUGAGAGACAAGAAUGGAUAGCCAAAAAUGGAAGAAAGCUUGUACAAGGGAGAACACUUGAAGAAAACAAGAAAAAGCACACACAGAAAAGUGUGCGUGCGCACAAGCAAGCAUGCGCGCACACAAGAAGGAAUUUGCAUGUGUGCGUGCGCACAACUACCCAUGCGUACACAUGGAAGAACAUUCAGCCAAGUGUGCAUACGCACAGGACCCAACAUGUGAUUUCAUUAAUGAAGCAUGUGCUGCGCGAUUUCUAAGGGCUUUUGGCCCAUUUUGGAAGGAUUGAAGGCUAAAUUGGAGUGCUAUAUCAAGGGAAUUCAACACAUAUCAAGGGAGCUCACUUAGAUAGUUUAAUUUCAUAGUAUUAGGAGUAGGAGUAGUGUAGAGUAGAUUGCUCUCUUAGGGUUUUAAUUAGGGUUUACUUCAAUUCUCAAUUGUUUAGCAUUCUAUAGCAAGCUUUCAUUUUAGAUUUUGCUUCGUUCAUUGUAAGUACUCUGAAUCUUCUCUCUUUAAUUAUAUCUCUUUUAUUUUCA